rnacentral:lncRNA from 1 species
AACAGAUUUUUCCGAAGACUAGUUGUUUAUACAAAGACAGGCUGAUUCAAGCGCAUACGCUACUUCUAUAAGACUCCGCAAAGACAGUAUUACCUCAAUAGAUCAACCAAUCACAAUACUAUAGCAUCGCUCACUCUCAAACACGAGCUACAACGCGGAACUGCAUGCUGAAGUGGGGAUCCUUUCAAUUAUUAAAUUAACGCUUUUUAUGCUAGUCAUCCUUUACCUCCUAAUCCUAAUAUUAUUGGGUAAAAUAUGAAAUGGCUAGUCGAUUCUC